AUUUAUUUUAUUGAUUUUACGAAUUUCGAUGGGCGCAGCAAGAAAAUUGAUAUAUAAUAACUCUUGUUCAUUGACUUUAUGAUAAUUGAUUCCCAAUAAAAUAUGUGUAUUAUAACAAAAAUAAUUGCAUUUAAAUAAUCUCAUCAAUAUCUAUUGUCUGAAAAAUUAUAUUGGAAAUAUAAUUUUUAUUACACGUUGCAAACAUAACACAGUUACAAAUUAAGUUUCUUCCAUCAUAAUAUUUCACGAAGAGAUUGUCAUUAAAAUUUCACAUUGCAUAUGAGAAGAUGUACAAGAGAAAGUUCAGUUUGCAAAACUACAACGGGAUAUGGGCGUUGAACUUGUCCAUUGGUUAAGAAUAGACAUUGCGUCGCAGAAUUUCUAUUCGGGACUUACCUGAAGAGAAAAAUAUUGAUUUUCAAUAUAAUUACGUAAAUGGCCAUUUUCCAUGAGAAGAAAUCAAUAUCAUCAUAAGAAUCAAUCAACAUUGCCAAAAAUUCUCAGAACAAUGGUAAAGAAGCGCUAAGGAAAGAUGAGAGCCCUGGUGAGAGAACGCCUAUGCCACUCGACCGUUCACUUUUUCUAAAAUUGGUCACAGACAGCCGGAUCUUGCCUAAGGAAAGCAGUAAAUCGCGACGAUCCUCUCUUCUGGAAGAGAUCUGCAGGGUGGGGCACAGUACAUUGCCAGAGAAAAUAAAUAACUCAUC
rnacentral:lncRNA from 1 species